CUACGGGUUGCAGCAGUGAGGAAUUUUGCGCAAUGGGGGAAACCCUGACGCAGCAACGCCGCGUGAGUGAUGAAGGCCUUCGGGUCGUAAAACUCUGUCAAGUGGGAAGAACCUAUGUAAGGUUAAUACCCUUAUGUACUGACGGUACCACUGAAGGAAGCACCGGCUAACUCCGUGCCAGCAGCCGCGGUAAUACGGAGGGUGCAAGCGUUAUUCGGAAUUAUUGGGCGUAAAGGGCGCGCAGGCGGUUUUGUAAGUCAGAUGUGAAAGCCCGGGGCUUAACCUCGGAAGUGCAUUUGAUACUGCAAGACUUGAGUAUGGGAGGGGGAAGUGGAAUUCCUGGUGUAGAGGUGAAAUUCGUAGAUAUCAGGAGGAACACCAGUGGCGAAGGCGACUUCCUGGACCAAUACUGACGCUGAGGCGCGAAGGCGUGGGGAGCAAACAGGAUUAGAUACCCUUGUAGUC
rnacentral:rRNA from 1 species